rnacentral:lncRNA from 1 species
AUGUCUACUUACUGGUUCAAAGGUCUAGCAUCUUGUCUGGAUUCCAAGAAUGAUUUGAGAGAAAGCAAGUCAUAUCUGCCUAACUUCAACCUGAAGUUAAAGCCCCCAAGUCUGAGGAAAGAUAAGAUGAAGAUAAAUGGCAUCCAUCCAAGUCUUGGAGGACAUCAGAUUUCCAGAUCUUUCCUUGUGCAUCCUAGCUGUUCAAGUUAACACACAAUCAUUUUGAUCUUCCUAAUAAAGCUCUUUUUCUUAAUCUGUGUGAUUCA